GAUACAUCAAGUGGGUUGUUUCACCAUAGAAGCAUAUUAGUUAUUAAUCCUGGUAAAGAAUGAACCAGUAGGCAAGGACUCUCACUAUCUUGCUUCUGAAGAAGUUAUUUUCUUUUUAUGGGAAGACACUAUACUGGAGGCUGAAAUGUUGGUUGGAUCUUCGAUGGAGCACUUAUAAAUGGUGUGGCCCUUCCGAGUACUGACUAAUAACUCACAUAUUGCAUUUUUACUUGAUGGGCAUUGUAUUCAUCUUCUAAGACCGGUUUUGAAAUCAUACCAGAUUGAAACAUUCAGGAGACGCUGCUGAAACAGAAAGUGAAGCUGUUGAACACCAUCAGGAAGUUGAACAAAGACAUUAGGCCAUAUGAACUAUGAAGUGGGGCUCUCAUCGGUGACC